GAUGAACGCUAGCGGGAGGCCUAACACAUGCAAGCCGAGCGGUAUUUGCUCUUCGGUGCAGAGAGAGCGGCGCACGGGUGCGGAACACGUGUGCAACCUGCCUUUAUCUGGGGGAUAGCCUUUCGAAAGGAAGAUUAAUACCCCAUAAUAUAUUGAGUGGCAUCACUUGAUAUUGAAAACUCCGGUGGAUAGAGAUGGGCACGCGCAAGAUUAGAUAGUUGGUGAGGUAACGGCUCACCAAGUCAAUGAUCUUUAGGGGGCCUGAGAGGGUGAUCCCCCACACUGGUACUGAGGCACGGACCAGAAUCCGACGGGAGGGAGCAGUGAGGAAUAUUAGACGAUGGGUCAGGGCCUGAUCCAGCCAUCCCGCGUGAAAGACGACGGCCCUAUGGGUUGUAAACUUCUUUUGUAUAGGGAUAAACCUACUCUCGUGAAAGUAGCUGAAGGUACUAUACGAAUAAGCACCGGCUAACUCCGUG
rnacentral:rRNA from 1 species